UGAGCGGCAAGAGCUCAGAUUUGAAAUCGUGCUUUGCGGCACGAGUUGUAGAUUGCAGGUUGGAGUCUGUGUGGAAGGCGGUGUCCAAGUCCCUUGGAACAGGGCGCCCAGGAGGGUGAGAGCCCCGUGGGAUGCCGGCGGAAGCAGUGAGGCCCUUCUGACGAGUCGAGUUGUUUGGGAAUGCAGCUCCAAGCGGGUGGUAAAUUCCAUCUAAGGCUAAAUACUGGCGAGAGACCGAUAGCGAACAAGUACUGUGAAGGAAAGAUGAAAAGCACUUUGAAAAGAGAGUGAAACAGCACGUGAAAUUGUUGAAAGGGAAGGGUAUUGCGCCCGACAUGGGGAUUGCGCACCGCUGCCUCUCGUGGGCGGCGCUCUGGGCUUUCCCUGGGCCAGCAUCGGUUCUUGCUGCAGGAGAAGGGGUUCUGGAACGUGGCUCUUCGGAGUGUUAUAGCCAGGGCCAGAUGCUGCGUGCGGGGACCGAGGACUGCGGCCGUGUAGGUCACGGAUGCUGGCAGAACGGCGCAACACCGCCCGUCUUGAAACAUGGACCAAGGAGUCUAACGUCUAUGCGAGUGUUUGGGUGUGAAACCCGUACGCGUAAUGAAAGUGAACGUAGGUCGGACCCCCUGCCCUCGGGGAGGGGAGCACGAUCGACCGAUCCCGAUGUUUAUCGGAAGGAUUUGAGUAGGAGCAUAGCUGUUGGGACCCGAAAGAUGGUGAACUAUGCCUGAAUAGGGUGAAGCCAGAGGAAACUCUGGUGGAGGCUCGUAGCGGUU
rnacentral:rRNA from 1 species